GACGUAGGGUGCAAGCGUUGUCCGGAUUUACUGGGCGUAAAGAGCGCGUAGGCGGUCCGUUAAGUGUAGAGUGAAAGCUCCGGGCUCAACCCGGAAAUCGCUCUGCAUACUGGCGGACUCGAGGGUGGCAGAGGCUCGUGGAAUUCCUGGUGUAGCGGUGAAAUGCGUAGAUAUCAGGAGGAACACCCAUGGCGAAGGCAGCGAGCUGGGCCACAUCUGACGCUGAGGCGCGAAAGCGUGGGUAGCAAACAGG
rnacentral:rRNA from 1 species